CCGCGAUCAUGCUUUUUAAGCUAGACGGUUUCCAGCGUCAGGUCGGCAACGCAUUCCUUGAGCGCACCAGCCUCUCGGCGCAGAUCCUUGACCUCAUCACUGGUCGCAGCACGAGCAGUAUCCCGCCUGGGGAGUACGCACGCAAGUGUGAAACUCAAAUGAAUUGACGGGGGCCCGCACAAGCGGUGGAGCAUGUGGUUUAAUUCGAUGCAACGCGAAGAACCUUACCUGGUCUUGACAUAUCUAGAAUCCUGCAGAGAUGCGGGAGUGCCUUCGGGAAUUAGAAUACAGGUGCUGCAUGGCUGUCGUCAGCUCGUGUCGUGAGAUGUUGGGUUAAGUCCCGCAACGAGCGCAACCCUUGUCCUUAGUUACCAGCGGGUUAAGCCGGGAACUCUAAGGAUACUGCCAGUGACAAACUGGAGGAAGGCGGGGACGACGUCAAGUCAUCAUGGCCCUUACGACCAGGGCUACACACGUGCUACAAUGGUAGGUACAGAGGGCAGCUAC
rnacentral:rRNA from 1 species